GUGACCCCAGGAUGGGCGAGGCCACCCGCCGAGUUUAAGCAUAUCAAUAAGC
rnacentral:rRNA from 1 species